rnacentral:pre_miRNA from 1 species
AAUUGGUUUCCGAGGAGAAAGAAGAAGAGGAAGAGGAAGAAGAUAAUGGGACUGAAAACGACUAUGGAGCUGAUUGAUUUCUUCUCUUUUUCUUCUUAUUCUAUUUUGCUGCUAACCCCUCUCUUUUA